GGUGAACGCUGGCGGCGUGCUUAAGACAUGCAAGUCGAACGCGGUCUUCGGACCGAGUGGCGCCCGGGUGAGUAACACGUAACUGACCUACCCAGAAGUCAUGAAUAACUGGCCGAAAGGUCAGCUAAUACGUGAUGUGGUGAUUUGCCGUGGCACAUCACUAAAGAUUUAUCGCUUCUGGAUGGGGUUGCGUUCCAUCAGCUGGUUGGUGGGGUAAAGGCCUACCAAGGCGACGACGGAUAGCCGGCCUGAGAGGGUGGCCGGCCACAGGGGCACUGAGACACGGGUCCCGCUCCUACGGGAGGCAGCAGUUAGGAAUCUUCCACAAUGGGCGCAAGCCUGAUGGAGCGACGCCGCGUGAGGAAUGAAGGUUUUCGGAUCGUAAACCUCUGAAUCUGGGACGAAAGAGCCUUCGGGCAGAUGACGGUACCAGAGUAAUAGCACCGGCUAACUCCGUGCCAGCCGCCGCGGUAAGAC
rnacentral:rRNA from 1 species